rnacentral:rRNA from 1 species
CGUGGGCGGCGUGGAUUAGGCAUGCAAGUCGAACGAAUCCCAUGGGGGUAACUCUGUGGGGGAAGUGGCGAAAGGGGCAGUAAGGCAUGGGUACCUACCCGGGGGUUCGGGAUAGCCACCAGAGAUGGUGGGUAAUACCGGAUGACCUCGUGAGAGCAAAGACUUGUCGCCCCCGGAGGGGCCCAUGUGAUAUUAGCUAGUUGGUGGGGUAACGGCCCACCAAGGCGAAGAUGUCUAGCGGGUGUGAGAGCACGACCCGCGCCACUCGCACUGAGACACUGGCGAGACACCUACGGGUGGCUGCAGUCGAGGAUCUUCGGCAAUGGGCGCAAGCCUGACCGAGCGAUGCCGCGUGCGCGACGAAGGCCUUCGGGUUGUAAAGCGCGAAGGUGGGGAGAAACGCCGAAAGGCUUGAUCUAUCCACAGUAAGCUCGGGCUAAGUUCGUGCCAGCAGCCGCGGUAAGACGAACCGAGCGAACGUUGUUCGGAAUCACUGGGCUUAAAGGGCGCGUAGGCGGGCGAUCAAGUCAGAGGUGAAAUCCUGCGGCUCAACCGUAGAAGAGCCCCUGAUACUGAUUGUCUCGAGGGAGAUAGGGGCAUGUGGAACUUCCGGUGGAGCGGUGAAAUGCGUAGAUAUCGGAAGGAACGCCGGUGGCGAAAGCGACGUGCUGGAUCUCUUCUGACGCUGAGGCGCGAAAGCUAGGGGAGCAAACGGGAUUAGAUACCCCGGUAGUCCUAGCCCUAAACGAUGGGUACUAGGUAGUGGGCUUACAUGGGUUCACUGCCGAAGCAAAAGUGAAAAGUACCCCGCCUGGGGAGUAUGGUC